rnacentral:rRNA from 1 species
UACGAAGGGGGCUAGCGUUGCUCGGAAUCACUGGGCGUAAAGGGUGCGUAGGCGGGUCUUUAAGUCAGGGUGAAAUCCUGGAGCUCAACUCCAGAACUGCCUUUGAUACUGAGGAUCUUGAGUUCGGGAGAGGUGAGUGGAACUGCGAGUGUAGAGGUGAAAUUCGUAGAUAUUCGCAAGAACACCAGUGGCGAAGGCGGCUCACUGGCCCGAUACUGACGCUGAGGCACGAAAGCGUGGGUAGCAAACAGG